rnacentral:rRNA from 1 species
AGUGAACGCUGGCGGUAGGCCUAACACAUGCAAGUCGAACGGCAGCACAGUAAGAGCUUGCUCUUACGGGUGGCGAGUGGCGGACGGGUGAGGAAUACAUCGGAAUCUACUUUUUCGUGGGGGAUAACGUAGGGAAACUUACGCUAAUACCGCAUACGACCUACGGGUGAAAGCAGGGGAUCUUCGGACCUUGCGCGAUUGAAUGAGCCGAUGUCAGAUUAGCUAGUUGGCGGGGUAAAGGCCCACCAAGGCGACGAUCCGUAGCUGGUCUGAGAGGAUGAUCAGCCACACUGGAACUGAGACACGGCCCAGACUCCUACGGGAGGCAGCAGUGGGGAAUAUUGGACAAUGGGCGCAAGCCUGAUCCAGCCAUACCGCGUGGGUGAAGAAGGCCUUCGGGUUGUAAAGCCCUUUUGUUGGGAAAGAAAAGCAGCAGGUUAAUACCCCGCUGUUCUGACGGUACCCAAAGAAUAAGCACCGGCUAACUUCGUG